rnacentral:misc_RNA from 1 species
GAUGAAAGACCACGGCGGGAGGCUUUCCGAAAGGACAGCCAGUAGAUGUCCGGUUCUACUGGCUGGCAGCGAUGGACGGAGUAGACGUAUGUCUCUUCUGAAGCCGAUCAAGCCUCCCCCUGAACCCCACCCUUGCUUUUUGCGCACCCAUUGUUUCCUCGGCAGGCUUGCUUGCCAGUAGGACCCUUUUCAACCCUUUGUAUUUGCAGUCCGCGUCAGAAAACAACGUAAUCGUUA